rnacentral:miRNA from 1 species
UGAGCUUGUGGUUCGACAUGU